AAAUUGAAGAGUUUGAUCAUGGCUCAGAUUGAACGCUGGCGGCAGGCCUAACACAUGCAAGUCGAACGGUAGCACAGAGAGCUUGCUCUCGGGUGACGAGUGGCGGACGGGUGAGUAAUGUCUGGGAAACUGCCUGAUGGAGGGGGAUAACUACUGGAAACGGUAGCUAAUACCGCAUAACGUCGCAAGACCAAAGAGGGGGACCUUCGGGCCUCUUGCCAUCAGAUGUGCCCAGAUGGGAUUAGCUAGUAGGUGGGGUAACGGCUCACCUAGGCGACGAUCCCUAGCUGGUCUGAGAGGAUGACCAGCCACACUGGAACUGAGACACGGUCCAGACUCCUACGGGAGGCAGCAGUGGGGAAUAUUGCACAAUGGGCGCAAGCCUGAUGCAGCCAUGCCGCGUGUAUGAAGAAGGCCUUCGGGUUGUAAAGUACUUUCAGCGGGGAGGAAGGUGUUGUGGUUAAUAACCGCAGCAAUUGACGUUACCCGCAGAAGAAGCACCGGCUAACUCCGUGCCAGCAGCCGCGGUAAUACGGAGGGUGCAAGCGUUAAUCGGAAUUACUGGGCGUAAAGCGCACGCAGGCGGUCUGUCAAGUCGGAUGUGAAAUCCCCGGGCUCAACCUGGGAACUGCAUUCGAAACUGGCAGGCUAGAGUCUUGUAGAGGGGGUAGAAUUCCAGGUGUAGCGGUGAAAUGCGUAGAGAUCUGGAGGAAUACCGGUGGCGAAGGCGGCCCCCUGGACAAAGACUGACGCUCAGGUGCGAAAGCGUGGGGAGCAAACAGGAUUAGAUACCCUGGUAGUCCACGCCGUAAACGAUGUCGAUUUGGAGGUUGUGCCCUUGAGGCGUGGCUUCCGGAGCUAACGCGUUAAAUCGACCGCCUGGGGAGUACGGCCGCAAGGUUAAAACUCAAAUGAAUUGACGGGGGCCCGCACAAGCGGUGGAGCAUGUGGUUUAAUUCGAUGCAACGCGAAGAACCUUACCUGGUCUUGACAUCCACAGAACUUUCCAGAGAUGGAUUGGUGCCUUCGGGAACUGUGAGACAGGUGCUGCAUGGCUGUCGUCAGCUCGUGUUGUGAAAUGUUGGGUUAAGUCCCGCAACGAGCGCAACCCUUAUCCUUUGUUGCCAGCGGUCCGGCCGGGAACUCAAAGGAGACUGCCAGUGAUAAACUGGAGGAAGGUGGGGAUGACGUCAAGUCAUCAUGGCCCUUACGACCAGGGCUACACACGUGCUACAAUGGCGCAUACAAAGAGAAGCGACCUCGCGAGAGCAAGCGGACCUCAUAAAGUGCGUCGUAGUCCGGAUUGGAGUCUGCAACUCGACUCCAUGAAGUCGGAAUCGCUAGUAAUCGUAGAUCAGAAUGCUACGGUGAAUACGUUCCCGGGCCUUGUACACACCGCCCGUCACACCAUGGGAGUGGGUUGCAAAAGAAGUAGGUAGCUUAACCUUCGGGAGGGCGCUUACCACUUUGUGAUUCAUGACUGGGGUGAAGUCGUAACAAGGUAACCGUAGGGGAACCUGCGGUUGGAUCACCUCCUUA
rnacentral:rRNA from 1 species